rnacentral:misc_RNA from 1 species
GAAAUGCGAUAAGUGGUGUGAAUUGCGGAAUUCAGUGAAUCAUCGAGGCUUUGAACGCACAUUGCGCCCCUUGGUAUUCCAUGGGGCAUGCCUGUUCGAGCGUCAUUUGUAGCCUCAAGCUUUGCUUGGUGUUGGGCGUCUUGUCCUCUUCUGGAGGACUCGCCUCAAAACAAUUGGCAGCCGGCAUCUUGGUAUCGGAGCGCAGCACAAGUCGCACUUUGUUCCAUGAAUGUUGGUAUCCAUCAAGACCAUUUUUUCACUCUUGACCUCGGAUCAGGUAGGGAUACCCGCUUAACUUAA